AACGAACGCUGGCGGCAUGCCUAACACAUGCAAGUCGAACGAUGCCUUCGGGCAUAGUGGCGCACGGGUGCGUAACGCGUGGGAAUCUGCCUUUCGGUUCGGAAUAACUCAGGGAAACUUGAGCUAAUACCGGAUAACGUCGCAAGACCAAAGAUUUAUCACCGAAAGAUGAGCCCGCGUAGGAUUAGCUAGUUGGUGAGGUAAAGGCUCACCAAGGCGACGAUCCUUAGCUGGUCUGAGAGGAUGAUCAGCCACACUGGGACUGAGACACGGCCCAGACUCCUACGGGAGGCAGCAGUGGGGAACAUUGGACAAUGGGCGAAAGCCUGAUCCAGCAAUGCCGCGUGAGUGAUGAAGGCCUUAGGGUUGUAAAGCUCUUUUACCCGGGAAGAUAAUGACGGUACCGGGAGAAUAAGCCCCGGCUAACUCCGUG
rnacentral:rRNA from 1 species